UGUCGGGUCGUCUAAGUAGGCAGGACGCUAGGCUUUGAAUCUAGAAAUGGUGGUUCGAGGCCGCCCCCGACAACUA
rnacentral:tRNA from 1 species